UGGCUUGGUUUCCUGGGAGGUGGGCUCAGUGUACUCCACCUCCUCUCAGCUAAGCCUAGAGUACAGGGCCAGGUAUGCACCUGUGUGGGAGAGGUGCUUAAGCAGGGAGCCUUGCCCGGCUUUCCUAGCCUCACAUUU
ensembl:scaRNA Gm24644 predicted gene, 24644